rnacentral:misc_RNA from 1 species
GAACGCAUCUUGCGCUCCUUGGUAUUCUGAGGAGCAUGCCUGUUUGAGGGUCAUUAAUAUAUCUCGACCACACCUGCGUGUGUGGCUCGGACUUGGGGGGAUGGUGCAGGCUCCAGCUCUGUGGUCUGCUCCCCUGAAAUGCAUUGGCGGUUUUUUUAUGACCUCUGCUCUGGGUGUGAUAAUCUAUCUGCAUUCAAGCGAGUCGUGCUGCCAUCGUGUGGCCCCUUUUGUUCUUGACCUCAAAUCAGGUAGGACCACCCGCUGAACUUA